rnacentral:rRNA from 1 species
UACGGAGGGAGCUAGCGUUGUUCGGAAUUACUGGGCGUAAAGCGCGCGUAGGCGGCUUUGUAAGUUAGAGGUGAAAGCCCGGAGCUCAACUCCGGGACUGCCUUUAAAACUGCAUCGCUUGAAUCCAGGAGAGGUGAGUGGAAUUCCGAGUGUAGAGGUGAAAUUCGUAGAUAUUCGGAAGAACACCAGUGGCGAAGGCGGCUCACUGGCCCGAUACUGACGCUGAGACGGCGAAAGCGUGGGGAGCAAACAGG